rnacentral:rRNA from 1 species
UUUUGAGAGUUUGAUCCUGGCUCAGGAUGAACGCUGGCGGUAUGCCUUAAGCAUGCAAGUCGAACGAUCUUGUCCUUUGGACAAGAAUUUUCAAAUUAUCCAAUAAUCCAAUAAAUACCAAUUAUCCAAUAAGAGCAAAAUUCUUAUUUGAUUAUUUGAGAAUUGGAUUAUUUGUUGAUUGGAAAUUCUCGCCCAGAGGGCGAGGUAGUGGCAGACGGGUGAGUAAUAGUAAGGAACGUACCCCAAGGUCAAGUAUAGCCUUCCGAAAGGAGGGGUAAUACUGGAUAGUUCCCGAUUUAAUCGGGUAAAGCACGUAACUGUGCGCCAUGGGAGCGGCCUUAUUCCUAUCAGCUUGUUGGUAGGGUAAAAGCCUACCAAGGCGAUGACGGGUAGGGGGCGUGAGAGNNUCCGGAUUUACUGGGCGUAAAGUGUCGCGUAGGCGACUUCUUGUGUCACAUCUUAAAGAGUAAGGCUUAACCUUGCCGUUGGAUGUGAGACUAAGAAGAUUUGAAGAAGAGAGGAGUACCUGGAACUGACGGUGGAGUAGUGAAAUGCGUUGAUAUCGUCAGGAACACCAAAAGCGAAGGCAAGGUACCGGCUCUUUCUUGACGCUGAGGCACGAAAGCUAGGGGAGCGAAGCAGAUUAGAGACCUGCGUAGUCCUAGCCCUAAACGCAUGGAUGCUAGAUACCCCGUCGCAAAACCUAUGGGUUUUGCGACGAAAUCAAAAAUCAAAAUGUCCUGCAGAGCAGGAUCUGGCUUUGCCAGACAAAAUUCAAAAAUAUACAAGGUAUCCCUUCGGGACUAUUUAUAAAUUUGUCCUUGUUAAAUUUUGAUCUUUGACUUUUGAAUUUUAGAUUUCGCAAAAACGUAGUUUUUGCGAUGGGGUGUCGCAAGCUAACGCGUUAAGCAUCCCGCCUGGGGAGUACGAACGCAAGUUUAAAACUCAAAGGAAU